AUUGAACGCUGGCGGCAGGCCUAACACAUGCAAGUCGGACGGUAGCACAGAGGAGCUUGCUCCUUGGGUGACGAGUGGCGGACGGGUGAGUAAUGUCUGGGGAUCUGCCCGAUAGAGGGGGAUAACCACUGGAAACGGUGGCUAAUACCGCAUAACGUCGCAAGACCAAAGAGGGGGACCUUCGGGCCUCUCACUAUCGGAUGAACCCAGAUGGGAUUAGCUAGUAGGCGGGGUAAUGGCCCACCUAGGCGACGAUCCCUAGCUGGUCUGAGAGGAUGACCAGCCACACUGGGACUGAGACACGGUCCAGACUCCUACGGGAGGCAGCAGUGGGGAAUAUUGCACAAUGGGCGCAAGCCUGAUGCAGCCAUGCCGCGUGUAUGAAGAAGGCCUUCGGGUUGUAAAGUACUUUCAGCGGGGAGGAAGGCGGUGAGGUUAAUAACCUCGCCGAUUGACGUUACCCGCAGAAGAAGCACCGGCUAACUCCGUGCCAGCAGCCGCCGCCG
rnacentral:rRNA from 1 species